GACGAACGCUGGCGGCGUGCUUAACACAUGCAAGUCGAGCGGUAAGGCCCUUUCGGGGGUACACGAGCGGCGAACGGGUGAGUAACACGUGGGUGACCUGCCCUCAGCUCUGGGAUAAGCCUGGGAAACCGGGUCUAAUACCGGAUAUGACUCCAUGACGCAUGUUGUGGGGUGGAAAGCCUUGUGCGGCUGAGGAUGGGCCCGCGGCCUAUCAGCUUGUUGGUGGGGUGAUGGCCUACCAAGGCGACGACGGGUAGCCGGCCUGAGAGGGCGACCGGGCCACACUGGGACUGAGAC
rnacentral:rRNA from 1 species